rnacentral:rRNA from 1 species
UAGGGAAUAUUAGUAAUGGGCGAAAGCCUGAACUAGCAACGCCGCGUGUGCGAAGAAGGCCUUCGGGUUGUAAAGCACUUUUUGAGAGGAUGAGGAAGGACGGUACUCUCAGAAUAAGUCUCGGCUAACUACGUGCCAGCAGCCUCGGUAACACGUAGGAGGCGAACGUUAUCCGGAUUUACUGGGCGUAAAGCGCGUGUAGGUGGUUUGGUAAGUAGGGCGUGAAAGCUCCUGGCUCAACUGGGAGAGGCCGUUCUAAACUGCCGAACUAGAGGAUGGUAGGGGGAGGUGGAAUUCCGGGUGUAGCGGUGGAAUGCGCAGAUAUCCGGAGGAACACCAGUGGCGAAAGCGGCCUCCUGGACCACUCCUGACACUCAGCCGCGAAAGCUAGGGUAGCAAACAG